AAAAAUUAAAAUCCAUUGAAUUUUAAAAAUAUACACAACAAAAACAUAAAUAUAUAAAAAGCAUGCGCUUUUAUUUAUUAUUAAGGACAAGUUAAAUGUUGAAGUGAAAUUUGCAGAUUGUUUUGUUAAAGAAAUCUGGAGAAAAGCGAUCUUAAAACCGGUUUUCUUUCCCCCUAUAGUGCGACAAAGCAGUCCUUUGCGCCAAAAAGCAAAAACCAUCGCUGCAAAAAAUAUGUGUCAAAACGUGAAAAAUGAGCUCGACACAACUCCAUCGGUCACCAGUUGCUGAGUCUUCUCCGUGUGAACGGCGGUCGGGCGCGCUGCACGCUCCCGGUGUCCCCCCAGAAAGCGCGCACCCGCACGGAGAGAUGUUCCAGUGAGGUCUGCAGCUACCACAAUGGGAGGAGUAUGAAAGUUCUCCUGAGCCCUGCCCACUAACUGCAAAACAUAUAAGACGCUGGAAUGGAGCAAAAGCUGGCACUUAAGCUUUACAUCUUCAUGAAGGGACAAACUGAUGACAGGAAACGUCAUCACAAUGAUUUUAUCAAUACUCCAUGAGAUAUCAAAAGUAUAUUUUCUUUAUUGAUAUUAAUGCUUUAUUUUUUCCUUCAGAUAAAUUAAAAGUAUUAAUAUUUAGGUAGUUUUUUCGAGUUGUUUUUGAAGGGAAAGAGGAGCAGACUAUCCAUCACAAUGGCACUUGACACUGAGUUUGGUGUGAAGGGCAGCAGCAGCAUCAGGGAGUGGAGUGGACAGGUUCAUCCAGCUUUAGUGGCCUCCUUAGUUUUCUUGUUUUGUCUGGAAGCCUGUCUGUGGGUCAGGAACUUCAGACUCAAGAGGAGACUGCCUGGACCUUUCGCCUGGCCCUUGGUGGGCAACGCCAUGCAGCUGGGCCAGAUGCCUCACAUCACCUUCAGCAAGCUUGCCAAGAAAUAUGGCAACGUGUACCAGAUAAGACUGGGUUGGAGCGACGUGGUGGUUGUGAACGGAGACCGGUCGAUCCGCGAGGCGCUCAUACAGCACAGCAUAGAGUUUGCAGGCAGACCGAACUUUGUGUCGUUCCAGAUGAUCUCUGGAGGCAGGAGUCUGACAUUCACCAAUUACAGCGAACAGUGGAAAGCACACAGGAAACUUGCUCAGUCAACCCUCAGAGCCUUUUCCUCUGCAAACAGCCAGACCAAAAAGACAUUUGAGCAGCACAUUGUAGAUGAGGCCACCGAGCUGGUGAAGGUAUUUUUGCAGCGGAGCUCAACCGGACAGUAUUUUCACCCAGCUCAUGAGUUUACAGUGGCUGCUGCCAACAUCAUGUGUGCACUCUGCUUUGGGAUGAGAUAUGGACAUGAUGACUUGGAGUUCACAACCCUUCUGCAGAGACUGGACAGGUUUGGCGAGACAGUAGGGGCAGGCAGUUUGGUGGAUGUCAUGCCCUGGCUUAAGUCUUUCCCUAACCCCGUUCGCAGUCUCUAUGAAAACUUCAAAAACCUCAAUGAGGAGUUUUUCAUUUUCAUUAAAGAUAAGGUACUGCAGCACAGAGCGACCUUUAACCCUAAAGUGACCCGAGACAUAAGUGAUGCCAUCAUCAAUGUGAUUGAGCAUGGAGAAGACAGCAAGCUGAGCAAGGAUUUUGUUGAAGCGACCGUCACUGAUCUGAUUGGAGCUGGUCAAGACACCAUGUCGUCUUUCAUGCAGUGGAUUAUUCUUCUCCUGGUCAAAUACCCAGAUGUGCAGGCCAAGCUGCAGCAGCUCAUAGACAGAGUGGUGGGCAGAGAAAGGUUGCCCUCCACCGAGGACAGAAACAACCUGGCACUCCUGGACGCCUUCAUUUAUGAGACCAUGCGCUUCACCAGCUUCGUCCCCGUCACCAUCCCCCACUCCACCACCUCAGACGUCACCAUCGGAAGUCUCCACAUCCCCAAGGAUACCGUCGUCUUCAUCAAUCAGUGGUCCGUCAACCAUGACCCCCUGAAAUGGAAGGAGCCGCACGUGUUCGAUCCCACGCGCUUCCUGGAUGAAAACGGGGGUCUCGACAAGGACAAAAUCAACAGCGUGAUGAUUUUCUCCACAGGUAAAAGGCGCUGCAUCGGCGACCAGAUUGCCAAGGUGCAGGUGUUUAUAUUCACCGCAGUUCUGCUGCACCAGUGCAGCUUCGAGAGUGACCCCUCAGAGCCUGUCACUCUAGACUGCUCCUACAGUCUUGUACUAAAGCCACUCAGAUGCAGCAUUAGCACCAAGCUUAGGGGAGAGUUGCUAGAUCAGGUUCCUAUAGAGUGAACAGCAUGCCUCCCUACUGUGACUCUAGCACAUACUUUAAAUCAAGUGAUAUUUAACAGUCAGAAUCAAUAUACCUGGACCUAACUGUAAAAAAACAUAUUUAACAGAAAUAUUUAAUACAUAUAUUACCAUAGUCUGUUUUUAUUUGCAGCACAGAUAGAAAAGUAUUACUUCAAUGAUGUCUGCUGCAAAAAACACAAGCUUGCAAUCUCAGAAUUGAUUAGAUUUUGUUCAUUGUGUACUUGUUUUCAAUGAGUGUGUUGGUAUAUGUGUAUAAAUAAAUACAUUUAAACUACUAUAACCAUAUAUGUAUGAUCAUGUGAAAGUUAUAAAGUCACUUGAUGGUUCAUUGUUCUCAUUUGUCUUGUGUAAUUUUAUUCAUAGUUCAUUUAAAAAGUAAUUUAAGUUCAAUCACUAGCUACUGUACUUAAAGCAUGAGAGCAGAUGAAACACAGCAGGAUGACGAGAAGAGAUCAAAAUUAGGUGUUUGAGAAGGAACAUGAAGGACUGUGGACGACGAAUUCUAAAAACUUUGAGUCCAAGUUUACUGUACAAGCAGCUGCCCUGUGCCAAACCCAUCUGAGCAAUUCAACAAAGCACAUGUGCAGCUAGUUCCUCUCACUCAUGAGCUCUCCUCAAAACAAGGUUUGUUUACAGGAACUUUUUCAACAUCUAUGGAAGUCACUACACUCGCCUCUGUGUUCAAGAUUUGAUGUUAUAAUGCCCAAGAGAUAUGUUUUUUUUGUUUGUUUGUUGAGGCACAAAAGAAAGGAAUUAACUCUGCUUGCUCUGAAUGUAAAAGCAUGAAGUUGUGGGGACUGCUUGGAAAUUCACUGAGACUUUACACGAAGGAAAAAUAAGCUGUAUUUGAAACAAAUAAAGUGAUAUUUGAUAAGUUUCA